rnacentral:lncRNA from 1 species
AUGAAUCUUAUUUUCAGUUUUGUGUGUGUAGUUAAGAUGAUUAUUCCUUAACGAUCGAGGAUUCAGAACGUUUUAUAAUGGAUAUUGGUUACCGUAACAAACCUAAAUAAUACCGAUCGAAUUUCCUACGCGUAACGAACCGAAAUGAUAUAAAUCGAAUGCAAAAAAAUCGUUGCCUGCCGCAAAGCGUGGGCUUUCUUACUACCUUAGUUUAUACAAUAAGCAAGAAAUACAAAAAUAAAAAAGAAGCACCCAAUAUUAUAUUAUAAAUAAUAUUAAAAGACAGUGAAAUUUAAGAGACUUAUAAAUAACAAAGGGUUUGCCAAAUUCUUUAAAUAUUUUUAGAUGAGAGGUUUUAAGUUCAAGUCCCGUAAAUAACAAGGGAUAAAAGAAAUUUUUCGUUAAAAAGAAAAGAGAAAGUGUUGCUUGGAUUAUAUUAUACGUGUUUAGAUGAGAGGUUUUAUACAUUUAUUUAGUUUACAUGAUGUAAUGAAUUGUUAGACAAAGAGUCAAUAUACCAUCAAAUGGAAUUGAACGAUUGGGAAAGUAAUCAAUUAUUCACACUUAAAUAAGUAAUAAAAUAUGCAAAUAAAGAAAGAAUAAACUUACAUAAUUAUUUUAUAUGUUUUAAAUUGUAACGGUGGUUUACUCAUAUUUUUUUAUGAUAAAAAACCUUAGUCUUAAAUACUAUAUUUUGCUUAACAGUGGGACUUGAACACUCACUACUUAGGAAAGACUAAACAUUUACAAACACAUUAAUAUAAUUUGACUAACAGCCCUUUAACAGUGGUUUGCUCACUUACAAGUUACAAGUAGGGGUAGACUUACCUUAUAGUAAGAGAUAGUAUACACUACCACUCAACUUUAUUGGCGAAAUGUAAAAAAUAGCGUAAAAUUUUUGUUUUACUCUUCAUUUUAUGUAUUACGUUACAUCUGAAUCUAAAAAAUAAUUUUAUGCUACCCUUGAAUUUUUUUCUAGAUCCGUCACUACUUACAAGUAAUUUUUGUUGAGUUAGAUUUUACUAUGUAUGUUUAUUUGUUCUAUUAUUGAUAGAUUGAGAAACUAAUAAAAUAUUCACAUUUAAUUUAAAUGAAUAAUAAUGAACCAAAGCAAAACUUUAACAUGGGUUGUGAGGGGCAAACACUACUCAUGAACAUUGGUUGAGUACAAAUGAUGAAGCUUAAGGAACAAGAAUAUGGUGCAAAACUAUUUUUUUUUUUUUCCUUUGGUUUCGUUCUCCUGUUAUUUUGUUUAAACAAAAAUAAACAAUUCUCCCGGUGAGGAUAGUUUUCGUAGUUCGAGUCGGCACACACCCCUUGACCGGUUUUUUUGCGUACACAUGCCUUUUAAUUUUUUUAUACGGGCCUUCUAUAUUUCUUUUAAUUUUAUACUAGGUUAGAACCCCGUGUAUUACACGAGAUUGAAUAAAUGUAAUUUUAUAUACUAAAUAAAAAAAUAAUAUAUUUUUAAAAACCUUUUUUAUUACAUGUGUUGAGUAAUAUAAUUUUAUAUAUUAAAUAAUAAAAAAGUUAUAUCUUGGUUUGAAUAAAUGUAAUUUUGUAUACCAAAUAAUAAAAAAGUUAUGUUUUUAAAAACCCUUGUGUAUUCACGGGUGGAAGAAAUGUAAAUUUAAAUACUAAAUAAUAAAAAAAGUUAUAUU